UACGUAGGGUGCAAGCGUUAAUCGGAAUUACUGGGCGUAAAGCGUGCGCAGGCGGCUUUGUAAGCCAGAUGUGAAAUCCCCGGGCUUAACCUGGGAAUGGCAUUUGGGACUGCAAGGCUUGAGUGCGGCAGAGGAGACUGGAAUUCCUGGUGUAGCAGUGAAAUGCGUAGAUAUCAGGAGGAAUACCGAUGGCGAAGGCAGGUCUCUGGGCUGACACUGACGCUCAUGCACGAAAGCGUGGGGAGCAAACAGG
rnacentral:rRNA from 1 species